UACGUAGGCAGCAAGCGUUGUUCGGAAUUACUGGGCGUAAAGAGUGUGUAGGCGGUGCUCUAAGUCUGUUGUGAAAUCUCCCGGCUUAACCGGGAGGGUGCGGCGGAAACUGGAGUGCUUGAGGGUGGGAGAGGUAAGCGGAAUUCCUGGUGUAGCGGUGAAAUGCGCAGAUAUCAGGAGGAACACCGAUGGCGAAGGCAGUUCUCUGGGACGGUACUGACGCUGAGACGCGAAAGCGUGGGGAGCGAACAGG
rnacentral:rRNA from 1 species